CUUUUUUUUUUUUUUUUUUGGUACUCAAUUAUUAGAUAUGAAACCUAUGAUUUUGGGCGACUGCAUGACCUGGAUUGGAGUUGAGGAGAGGCGAGGAAGCUGAUGCUCCGAAGUGAAUAACCGAUUCUAGCGGAUUGGAGGAAGGCAGGAACUACUUCCACGUGGAACACGUAUCUCGCGUGGUGUCAUGAUGUCAUGUCACGAACAGUGAAAGUGAUAUAUUUACAAUGAUUUUAUUUUAACUAUUAAUUAUAAUAAAUUUUUUGUAGAUUCUACUUUAUGGUGCAAACAAAAAAAAAA
rnacentral:misc_RNA from 1 species